rnacentral:rRNA from 1 species
UACGAAGGGGGCUAGCGUUGCUCGGAAUUACUGGGCGUAAAGCGUGCGUAGACGGUUAUCUAAGUCGGGUGUGAAAUCCCCGGGCUCAACCUGGGAAUUGCAUUCGAUACUGGAUAGCUAGAGUUCGGCAGAGGGAAGUGGAAUUUCCGGUGUAGCGGUGAAAUGCGUAGAUAUCGGAAGGAACAUCAGUGGCGAAAGCGACUUCCUGGACCAGAACUGACGUUCAGGCACGAAAGCGUGGGGAGCAAACAGG